rnacentral:lncRNA from 1 species
CUCCUCCAGAUGGCAAGCAGUCCUAUACAUGUUAAAUAGGUUACAGUAGAUCUUGGAUACAAUAUAUGUGUGCAGAACCGAACAGUUCUCUUGUUGCUCAGGGAGAAUUGGAUUUAGAAGGUAUAAAUAACUCAGGAAGAAAAACAAAAAUGCAAGCAGUUUACAUUCAUUUCCUAGUGUUCUUUCUUUGGGUGUAGCUGCUUCUGUCCAUCCUUGAUGAAUUGAAACUGUUAGAUCUUGUCUUUGUUGAAGAAAUCCACUUCCAUCAGAAUAUAUCCUUAUACAGUAUCGUUGUUGAUGUAUAUAAUGAUCUCCUGGUUCUGCUCAUUUCGCUCAGCAUCAGUUCAUGUAAAUCUCGCCAAUCCUCUCUGUAUUCGUCCUGCUGGUCAUUUCUUACAGAACAAUGAUAUUCCAUAACAUUCAUAUACCACAAUUUACUCAACCAUUCUCCAAUUGAUGGGCAUCCAUUCAUUUUCCAGUUUCUGGCCACUACAAACAGGGCUGCCACAAACAUUUUGGGACAUACAGGUCCCUUUCCCUUUUUUAGUUCUCCUUGGGGUAUAAGCCCAGUAGAAACACUGCUGGAUCAAAGGGUUUGCACAGUUUGAUAACUUUUUGGGCAUAGUUCCAAAUCACUUUCCAGAAUGGCUGGAUGUAUUCACAAUUCCACCAACAAUGUAUCAGUGUCCCAGUUUUCCCACAUCCCCUCCAAUAUUCCGCAUUAUCUUUCCCUGUCAUUCUGGCCAAUCUGACAAGUGUGUAGUGGUAUCUCAGAGUUGUCUUAAUUUGCAUUUCUCUGAGUGAUUUUGUCCAACCUUUUUAAGAAAGGGUUCUUCUCUGUUCCUUCCUCUAAAAAUCUUAUCAAUAGUUCUUUUAUGGCUGAUGUAGAUAUAUGAACUAUUUGUCAGAUAGAUAGAUUAUUGUUUAAAAACUAAGUUCUAGUUAAUGUUUUUAGUAUGAAGAGAACAUUUAGUCAAUUCAUUCAUUGUGUUUCUGUGUAGCCUUUUACUCUUACAUCUUCUAAAUGAAAAUGUCAGUAUAAAUUAGAACAGCUAAUUUGUAAAUGCUACCAGACCUGCUGUUCUCAUAAAUUAGAACAGUUAGUUUAUAAGUGCUACCAGAACUACUGUACCCUUGAAUAAGAACAGAAAUUGUUAAAUGAUGGAAUAUGAGAUUGAAAAAUUUUCUUCUCUAUUUUUUGAAAACAGAAAUAGAUUUAAUGGAAUAGUAAGCAGUUUUAAAGUACCUAGUCAGUCUACUAGGUACUGGGGACAUAAAUACAAAGAAUGAAACAAUUCUUGUUCUCAGUGUUUUUUAUUUGAAUGAUCUCUGACUGUAACUCUUAAGUUAUAAUUGUUUCUCUGGCUAAAAUGAAGUAGAUGGACUUAGAUUAAUUUCUUAGGGACUCUUAGAAUAACUUUGUCUUUUAAAAUUUUAGUAAGGAAACCAAAUCUUACACAUAUAACUCAUUGUGAUAUGAAAGUGACUUUUGUUGUCAAUGGCUAUUACAGAUGCAGGUUCAAACAUUCUGGAAAAGUUUCCCAUAUGGUCUCAGCAUCUAAGUGUGUUGAUCAUCUAAGGAACAACCUAACUUACUUUGUUGAGACUUGUCAACAAUUGGCUAAAGUUUUGUGAUGAGUGUUUUGGCAAAAAGAGA